rnacentral:rRNA from 1 species
AGUGAACGCUGGCGGUAGGCCUAACACAUGCAAGUCGACCGGCAGCACAGUAAGAGCUUGCUCUUACGGGUGGCGAGUGGCGGACGGGUGAGGAAUACAUCGGAAUCUACUUUUUCGUGGGGGAUAACGUAGGGAAACUUACGCUAAUACCGCAUACGACCUACGGGUGAAAGCAGGGGAUCUUCGGACCUUGCGCGAUUGAAUGAGCCGAUGUCGGAUUAGCUAGUUGGCGGGGUAAAGGCCCACCAAGGCGACGAUCCGUAGCUGGUCUGAGAGGAUGAUCAGCCACACUGGAACUGAGACACGGUCCAGACUCCUACGGGAGGCAGCAGUGGGGAAUAUUGGACAAUGGGCGCAAGCCUGAUCCAGCCAUACCGCGUGGGUGAAGAAGGCCUUCGGGUUUUAAAGCCCUUUUGUUGGGAAAGAAAAGCAGCAGGUUAAUACCCCGCUGUUCUGACGGUACCCAAAGAAUAAGCACCGGCUAACUUCGUG